GGUCAAGUUUUUAAGAGCACAUGGUGGAUGCCUUGGCAGUAGGAGCCGAAGAAGGACGUUGUAGCCUGCGAUAAGCCUCGGGGAGCUGGCAAACAAGCUGUGAUCCGAGGAUGUCCGAAUGGGGAAACCCCGCUGGAGUCAUGUCCAGUGACCCACGCCUGAACACAUAGGGCGUGUGGAGGGAACGUCGGGAAGUGAAACAUCUCAGUACCGACAGGAAGAGAUAUUCCGUGAGUAGUGGCGAGCGAAAGCGGAUGAGGCCAAACCGUAUGCGUGUGAUACCCGGCAGGGGUUGCGUGUGCGGGGUUGUGGGACCUUUCGGACUGUUCUGCCGGACAGUCGAGGAGUCAGAAAUCCGUGUGAUAGGCGAAGGGCAUUGAAAGGCCCGGCGUAGAGGGUGCGACCCCCGUAGCCGAAAUCAUGCGGACUCCUGAGAGUCAUCCCAAGUAGCACGGGGCCCGAGAAAUCCCGUGUGAAUCUGCAGAGACCACUCUGUAAGCCUAAAUACUACCUACUGACCGAUAGCGAAUCAGUACCGUGAGGGAAGGGUGAAAAGUACCCCGAGAGGGGAGUGAAAUAGUACCUGAAACCGUGUGCUUACAAUCCGUCGGAGCCUCCUUAGCUGGGGUGACGGCGUGCCUUUUGAAGAAUGAGCCUGCGAGUUAGUGCUCAGUGGCAAGGUUAACCCGUGUGGGGCAGCCGUAGCGAAAGCGAGUCCGAACAGGGCGUUUGAGUCGCUGGGUCUAGACCCGAAGCGAAGUGAUCUAUCCAUGGCCAGGCUGAAGCGCGGGUAAGACCGCGUGGAGGGCCGAACCCACUUGGGUUGAAAACCGAGGGGAUGAGCUGUGGAUAGGGGUGAAAGGCCAAUCAAACUUCGUGAUAGCUGGUUCUCCCCGAAAUGCAUUUAGGUGCAGCGUUGCGUGUUUCUUGCCGGAGGUAGAGCUACUGGAUGGCCGAUGGGCCCCACCAGGUUACUGACGUCAGCCAAACUCCGAAUGCCGGUAAGUGAGAGCGCAGCAGUGAGACUGCGGGGGAUAAGCUUCGUAGUCGAGAGGGAAACAGCCCAGAACACCAACUAAGGCCCCUAAGCGUGUGCUAAGUGGGAAAGGAUGUGGAGUUGCAUAGACAACCAGGAGGUUGGCUUAGAAGCAGCCACCCUUGAAAGAGUGCGUAAUAGCUCACUGGUCAAGUGAUUCCGCGCCGACAAUGUAGCGGGGCUCAAGUACACCGCCGAAGUUGUGUCAUUCACAUAUGUGCUAGGCCUUCGUGGUCCAGGCGUGUGGAUGGGUAGGGGAGCGUCGUGUGGCGGGUGAAGUCGCGGGGUAACCCAGCGGUGGACGCCACACGAGUGAGAAUGCAGGCAUGAGUAGCGAAAGACGGGUGAGAAACCCGUCCGCCGAAUGACCAAGGGUUCCAGGGCCAGGUUAAUCCGCCCUGGGUAAGUCGGGACCUAAGGCGAGGCCGACAGGCGUAGUCGAUGGACAACGGGUUGAUAUUCCCGUACCGGCGAAGAACCGCCCAUGACGAGGCGGACGAUGCUAAGUGCCCAAAGCCGGCGAACCCUUCGGGGGGAGCUCGGUGGCGCGCACGAACCAGAUCCGUAGUAGUCAAGCGUAUUAACAGGGGUGACGCAGGAAGGUAGCCGAGCGUGGCGAUGGUAGUCCACGUCUAAGGGUGUAGGCCGAACCGUAGGCAAAUCCGCGGUUCACA
rnacentral:rRNA from 1 species